GGCUGAGUAACACGUGGGCAACCUGCCCCCUCCACCGGGACAGCCUCGGGAAACCGUGGGUAAUACCGGAUACUCCGGGACGGCGGCAUGGCCGGCCCGGGAAAGCCCAGACGGGAGGGGAUGGGCCCGCGGCCUGUUAGCUAGUCGGCGGGGUAACGGCCCACCGAGGCGAUUAUGGGUAGCCGGGUUGAGAGACCGACCGGCCAGAUUGGGACUGAGACACGGCCCAGACUCCUACGGGAGGCAGCAGUGGGGAAUCUUGCGCAAUGGGCGGAAGCCUGACGCAGCGACGCCGCGUGCGGGACGAAGGCCUUCGGGUCGUAAACCGCUUUCAGCAGGGACGAGGCCCUCACGGUGACGGUACCUGCAGAAGAAGCCCCGGCUAACUACGUGCCAGCAGCCGCGGUAAUACGUAGGGGGCGAGCGUUAUCCGGAUUCAUUGGGCGUAAAGCGCGCGUAGGCGGCCUGUUAGGUCGGGGGUCAAAUACCGGGGCUCAACCCCGGUCCGCCCCCGAUACCGGCAGGCUUGAGUCUGGUAGGGGAAGGCGGAAUUCCCAGUGUAGCGGUGGAAUGCGCAGAUAUUGGGAAGAACACCGGCGGCGAAGGCGGCCUUCUGGGCCACGACUGACGCUGAGGCGCGAAAGCUAGGGGAGCGAACAGGAUUAGAUACCCUGGUAGUCCUAGCCGUAAACG
rnacentral:rRNA from 1 species